rfam:Schistosoma margrebowiei strain Zambia genome assembly, scaffold: SMRZ_contig0005759
GCACUGCUGAGGAGUCGCAUACUAAGAUGAAACGGCCGUCCGGUGC